GGGCCCGAUGCCGGUGCAUGGCGGGAUCUACGAAAUCUGGCUGGGGAGUUCAACUCUCCUCGGGUCCAC
rnacentral:tRNA from 1 species